rnacentral:lncRNA from 1 species
UGUAUUUCAAGUACCGGUACUGGAACUCCACAGUCAGUUAACAUUACAGUAUAUAGCACAAGUUCACAGUUCACAUGCAGCAAUAUGAGCAAUUUCCUCCUAUCCAACCUAUAAACUUUGCACCUUAUUACGAAUGGGAAGACCUAAAUAAAUGUAGUUAGUAGCACAACCCAACCUUUGGUUGACGUUGUUUCUAGUAUUAUCAUAAUUGAUAACCCUUGGUUCAUAUGGCUUUUACCCUGACUCGUCCCCAG